AUUUCCGUUUAAAAAAUGCGCUGAUCUGGGAAGGUUGUGAGAGAAAAAUUAUAUCACACUGGGAAACUAAAAAAUGAGUUUGAUAUAUGUGUUUAAUCCCACUGGACGCGUACAAUUAUUAUCGGCAGUGAUCUGGAGCCGCUUAUUAUUUACCGCGGCUGCGUCUGCGUGCGUCUUUACCUUUAAGGACCUGCGACAUUUUCCCCCAUACGAACGUACAGUUGUCUACCACCGAUAAUCUUUGCGUUGUAGACCUAGGUUUUGGGAAAUAAUGCGCUGAGGGCUUCUUUUAACUGAUCUCGAUGUUUAUGGUGUAAUUUGCGUCGGCCGAAAUCAAGCGCCGGAGGGGCGCGAGAGGACGACACCGCGCUCACGCUCGAGAGCAUCGCGUGGAGGAGGGGACGAAGACACAGAGGGGGUGUUCACUCAAAAUAUACUAUCCCUUUAAAACAAGGGGGACACGGCGGUGGGGGAGAGAUAGCGGGGCAGAGAAGACGGGAUAAAAAAAGAAAAGGAAGAAAGAGCGAGGGUGGGAGGGUGAGAGUAUUGCAGGAAAAAAAGGAAAAAAAUGUCAUCCUCUCGAUUGAAAUGCCGAGGCGGAGCCAUGGACGACGACCGGUGAAGCGCUCGCCAGACACGAAUGAGAUUUAACGCAACGCCGAGGCUCGCGCAGAUGCCGCUCGGGGCCUGGAUGGAGAAUCUUAUAAUAAAAAAAUUGAUGGAAAUAUUUUUACCAACGCCAUGCUAGCAAAUGAAACAUUAAACUGCCAUUUUAAUUAUGUUAUUUUUGCAUGAAUUAUUGCACAGCGGUCUAAAUAACAAGAAAACAUAAAAUGCAGAAAUUCAUUAUUAUAUAUUAUAUUUUAAGCAUGAUAUGCCACUGUUAUGUGACAAUGCGGUGUUAAUAGACUCUGACUGACAGCUGUCAUUUCUUAAUGUUUUUUAAUAUUUUGAAAUAAGAUGUAUGUCAGAGUAAUAUGCAUUCUUUCACUUUUUAAAUAACGUUUUACAUAUGAUAGCUUUACAUUUACAAAGCAUAUAUAUAUAACAGUGGAAGAAGUCUCUCAGUGUGGGGGGAAAUCGACUAGUUAAUUUCACACGGCAUCUGUACUCUUCUACGCGUCAUGAUGGAUGCAGCUUGGAGCAAUUUUCUCUUUCAGCAGACUCCGCCUUCACAGUCCCAAACUGACGCGACCCUCCAAUCAGAUCUUCUCCCGGAGCUCGCGGAUGCCGCUCAGGACCCGCCCCCUGAGCACAUAGCCCCGCCCCCAUCCACGGUGGACACAGCAGCGCUGAAUGAGGAGCCUGAACCGGUGAAGCCAGUCACGCGACCAGCCCGGCCUGCACACAUCUGCUCCAUAUGUAACAAGCAGUUUAAGAACAGUUACAACCUGCGGCGUCACCAGUCUGUCCACACUGGAGUGAAGAUGAAGGACAGAGCCGCUAGAGAGAAAAUAGACGGAGGGAAGGCUGGAGCACGAUUGGAGAGGCAGACCAUCCCCCUUUCUCUCCUCCAGCUGUCUAUACCUGCCUCCAUACCCACAGCAGUCGACCCCAUGGCCCAUCCUUCCCCAAUCAGCAAUCAGCAGGUAGAAACAGUUGCUGUCUCUAUCGCCCCGGCAACGGUUGCCAUGACAGUGAACCAGACCCUCCCUACUGCAGUGGUGGUUACUGGGACAAUGGUGCAGGCUGCACCAAAUAGCAACAUCAAUGAUAACCUAAGUAAUCCCACCCCGAUUCAAAUAUCUAUCCCAAUAACAAACCCAUUACCCAUCAAUCCAACUCCCAAUCCUAAUCCCAACCCCAACCCUAACCCCAAUCCAGUCAGGAAGAACCAUGCUUGUGAGGCUUGCGGGAAGGCAUUCAGGGACGUGUACCAUCUUAACCGGCACCGGUUGUCCCAUUCGGAUGAGAAGCCGUACUCCUGUCCAAUCUGCCAACAGCGGUUUAAGAGAAAGGAUCGAAUGAGUUAUCACGUUCGGUCACACCAGGGAGGAGUGGAGAAACCGUAUGUGUGUCCGCACUGCGCCAAGGGCUUCUCACGGCCUGACCAUCUUAACAGUCAUGUGCGACAGGUGCACUCCACAGAAAGACCCUUCAAAUGUCCGACCUGCGAAUCCGCAUUCGCUACUAAAGACCGGUUACGAGCUCAUAUGAUCAGACACGAGGACAAGGUUCCCUGUCACAUCUGUGGCAAACUUCUCUCCCCUGCUUACAUCACAGAUCACAUGAGGGUCCACAACCAAUCACAGCAUCACGUCUGCCACCUCUGCAACCGCAGUUUCACCACACUGACGUACCUGCGCGUCCACGCUCAGAAGCACCAUGGGCAAGAGUGGAAGGAGAGUGGGGUCGGCCGUGGCUCAGGCCCAGGCGGGGUGCUCUUAUGCCAGCUGUGUGGGGUACACUGUAAGACACCCACACAGCUGCAGGGUCACAUGGCCACGCACGCCAACCAAACGGACCCCAACAUUCCUUGCCCCAUCAGCAGCAGCAGCAGUUCAGUGCCGACAGUGGGCACAGCCACUCCUGUCUCCAGCCCUCCAGUCACAGUUGGGCUGCUGGUGACUGACUGCUCCAGCAUUGCUCCUCAGAGCCACAGCUAGCCAAAAGCACACCACGAGGAGGGAGGGCGGGGUAGAUGAAGCGGGGGUAAUGGGUGGGAGGGGAGAAAAUUGUGCAAGAGGAUGGGCCUAAUCUGGACAGAGCUACAUGUUACAGCCCAUUCAUUUUCCUAAAGACUGAUUCCAUGAUCUCUGCUUGUCUUGCAAUUAAUGGAUGUUUUAAAAGGGCUGCCAUGGAAAUGCCAACACAAAGAUUGCCAUGGAAACCUACCCAUUACCCCACCCCUCCCGUCCACCUCAAAUCUUGCUGCCACUGUGCUAGACAUGAACGACUCUCAAAAUAAGUUUGACUUUUGAAUGAACUCAAGAAACACGACCCUGCUUCAGAUUCACUUUUAUGUGCAGACCGAGCAGCAAGUCUUAUAAUUGCUUUUCCUUCGUAUUCUUUGAUCUGGUCUGAUGGAUACAGUCUAAAGGUGUUUUGAAGAAGAGCCUACAAAGAUCUGAUAGAUGACUGGUUUGGGUGUCGCUACAUUUUCCUGCAAAAUCCCAUUGGAGAGAUCACUGGUUUUAAAUGUAGGCUGUUAUUAAGUGCUGUCCCAGUUCAUUAUUUAAAAAAAAUCUAAUGUUGAGGAAUGUAGAGCACUGAGAGGAAUUGACACAUUAUACAUCCCAACCAUUUCCUUAUAUUAUACUGGCUCAUAUCUACAUGAUCUUGAAGUUCAGGAAGAGAGAUCAUUCCAUCAUAAAUGAUCUUGAUGUGAAUGACAACAUUUAAGGGGAUCAAAUAUGCCAUUUCCUCUCAUAAUUUCCUCAUUUGAACGUGGUUACAAGGAUAAAAUAUUUAUAUUUGCAAUGUACAUAGUAUAUGUGAAUACUACAAAUGUGUCUAUUGUUCAUUGCCUCCUUUGAUAUUUUUCUCAUUGAUCUCGAUUUUUGUUAAAAGACGUUAAACAAAUGUAACAAAAUGUUGAUUACAUUGAAUAAGAUCUGUAACCUAUGUUUCCAAUUCUGUUUGUGUUGAUGCUUGUUUAACGCCAAUAUGUGUUGGUGUCGCUGUGCUCUUAUUAAUCUCUGUAUAAUGAACAUGCACCUAAUUAUACUGAAUUUAACUA